rnacentral:rRNA from 1 species
GGGAACUGAAACAUCUAAGUACCCGGAGGAAGAGAAAACAAUAGUGAUUCCCAAAGUAGCGGCGAGCGAAAUGGGAAAAGCCCAAACCAAAGUUGUUUCGGCAAUUUUGGGGUUGUAGGACCACGCGAUCUGUUGUUCAACGAACUUGAAUGAACUGGAAAGUUCAACCAUAGAAGGUGAAAGUCCUGUAAAGGUAAGUAUGAAUAAAUGGUAGUGGUAUCCUGAGCAG